rnacentral:rRNA from 1 species
UACGUAGGCAGCAAGCGUUGUUCGGAGUUACUGGGCGUAAAGGGUGUGUAGGCGGUUGGAUAAGGGUGGUGUGAAAUCUCCCGGCUUAACUGGGAGGGUGCGCUACAAACUGUCUGACUAGAGUGUGGGAUGGGUAAGUGGAAUUCCUGGUGUAGCGGUGAAAUGCGUAGAUAUCAGGAAGAACACCCGUGGCUAAGGCGGCUCUCUAGUACGGUACUGACGCUGAGACGCGAAAGCGUGGGGAGCGAACAGG